rnacentral:rRNA from 1 species
AUGUCGUGGACUUCAGGGGCUUCUUCCGCUCCCGACUUCCGUCGCGCCAGUGGAAGGAGGGACACAGACUCGAGGUCUCGUGUGGCUUACAGGGAGAGUCCAAUGGCGUACGAGCCGCCAAAGUUGUGCCACUGCAGUCAGCCACGGAAGGCACCGAGAUGGAUCUCGUGGAGCCGCCAAAACCCCGGCAUGAGGUACUACGCCUGUGUGGAUGCAAUUGUGAGCCCCAUUUUCUGUGCUCAUGUCCUUCUGCUGCUCAUUUCUUGCUCUUAG